UCCUGAUGUAAGCGGCGGACGGGUGAGUAACACGUGGGUAACCUGCCUGUUUGACUGGGAUAACUCCGGGAAACCGGGGCUAAUACCGGAUGGUUGUUUGAACCGCAUGGUUCAAACAUAAAAGGUGGCUUCGGCUACCACUUACAGAUGGACCCGCGGCGCAUUAGCUAGUUGGUGAGGUAACGGCUCACCAAGGCAACGAUGCGUAGCCGACCUGGAGAGGGUGAUCGGCCACACUGGGUACUGAGACACGGCCCAGACUCCUUACGGGAGGCAGCCAGUAGGGAAUCUUCCGCAAUGGGACGAAAGGUCUGGACGGGAGCCAACGCCCGCGGUGGAGUGGAUGAAAGGGUUUUCGGGAUCGUAAAAAGGCCUCUUGGUUGGUUAGGGGAAAGGAAAACCAACGUUACCCGGUUUCCGGAAAUAAGGGGCGGGGUAACCCUUUGGAACCGGGGUUACCCCUUAAACCCCCAAGGAAAAAAAGGCCCCACCGGGGGCYUUAAACCUUUACCCGGUUGGGCCCCAAGCCCAAAGCCCCGGCCCGGGGGUUUAAAAAUUACCCGGUUUAANGGG
rnacentral:rRNA from 1 species